ACCUUUCGGCUAUUAAACAUGGCCGUACAGUUUCAACACCCGUUUUCUUGUAUUUUAGCAGGACCCUCAAAUUCCGGAAAGAGUUUUUAUGUAAAACGUUUUGUUAAUACAAGCGGAUACGCUAAUGUCGCACAAACUUGACAAUGUCAUUUGGUUUUAUGCAUGUUGGCAGAAAUUGUAUGACGAGCUAACCC